AACACACAUACACAAAACAUUCAUACACACGCACACAACCCACUCAGAUUAAAACAAAAAAGCUCCCGACUCCUCUGCUCAGGAACCCUAGAAAUUGCGCGACCUCGAUUCACCGGUGUUCAUCAUCUCCGUCCGAGUUUAGGCGCUCCAAGAACUGUACAACCUCGAUUCCGCCCCUACUUCUUCAGUCCCGAGCUCCAAGAGCUGUUACAUGCUCUAUUUCGAGUGCUCGAAGCUUGAGCUUAAUCAGUCGAUUGGAACUUAUUUCUUGAGUUGGUAAGCUUUUAUUGAUGUAUACAUGGUAUAUUUGGUUGCUUUUUGGGAUAAUAUUGUGCUAUCGUGUAUAUAUGAAAUUUUUUGGUUUGGGUGUUCUUGUAUAUACAUGAGGGCCACUGAUUUUUAGGGCUAUUUGGGUUAAUAUUGUUCUACUGUGCUGUGAUUUAUAUCUCUAGUAUAUAUGGGUCCUUGUUUAGGGUUCUCUUUAAUUAUGUGGAAUAUUUGUUUAGUGUGUUCUUUAAUGAUAUAGACAGGCCGGAUAUUAGAUUUUGUGCCGCCUGUAGUGUGGAAGCGGAACUGGGGAAGCUCAAGGGCGCUGGACUAUUUAGAACUCCAAUAACAGGGGGAGUGCAGAAGCUCUGUUCUUGAAGAGAUUGCGAAGCUGGUUUCUCUCUAUUUCUCUCUCUACCUAUGCUUGUUAUUAAGGAUAUCUUAGUCCUGUUUUACGGUUAAUAAGUAGGAAUGCGAUAUUAGUUUCAUUAUUUUAUAAAUUUCAGUUAAGUGUCAAUUUCAAUAACUGUACAAGCGAGGCUGGAGAGGUCUAUGAGCAAUUAAUGAGCAAACUGUUAUUGGCUGAUAUAUUUUGUUAGUAGUCAUUAUUAGAUGAUCAUCUAUAGGAAAGCCUUGAGUUGUGUUAAUGUUAAGUUAGUAGAUGAUCAUCUAUAGGGAACAAUUUAAGCAAGGUAAACUAAUAAAGGUGGCCAUAAUUAGAGAAUAUUGAAGUUAGUAAGAUGGUUGACUUAUGAGUCCUCAGGAGAGCUCACGUACCCAAGAUGGUUUAUUCACCAGGAAAUUAGAAGACUUGAGAUAUAUAGUCUCUGUAAAAAGGGCUAUAACGGCAAAUAUACCUUGUCGCCUUUUGAAUGUUUUGCGUCCUGACCUUACUGGAUGGAAAACAGAAGAUAUGGCUUGCAAUAAUACUCCACUUCAAUUACAGAGUUAGAAUAUAUGGUCCUGCUCCCUUGAAUAAGGUCUGGUAGAAUCAAUGCAAGUAGUAAUUCUAAAAGAAACACAUGUUAUAAUGUUAUAUUUGGUUAAAUAAAGCAUGAAUAUAGUUCAGUGGCGGUUAGAACCUUAAUCCAUAAAAAUUAAAUUUAGAAAGUAUUUAUUAUAUACAUUUUUAUGGAAUGAUUGUUGUGCUACCAUUUUUACUUGGUGCCUAUAUUUUGAGUGCCCACUGCAGUUAUUAACAUGGUGAAUCCAACUCGAUUGGCAUAUAUGCAUGUUGUUCCUGGAGUAUGCCAUUGGUAAAAUUCAAAUAUUAUGUUUAUUUUUUUCCUUCCCAAGUAUCUGUAAUUUUUUUUAAGAUUUCAUAAGCCACUAAUUGUUGAGCCAUUAUUUGUGUUAUUAAAAGUGCAAGUUUCUUCAUUUUAGAAACUAUAUGUUCUAGCCGAGCUAUCUUAUUCAUUUUAGAGUUUUGUUACUCUGUUAUCUAAUGAGUGUAGAGGGAAUAAAUCAAUUUGCAGGUCUAUCUUAAUAGUAAUCUUAAUUAUUUUUGUUUUUCAUCACUAUGCGAGGAUAUUACAGUAAAACUCUUCCAGAGCUGAGCUGAGCUGUUGGUCUUAUGAUUAUCACAUCACAGGCUGAUAAAAAUACUAGUGUGGUUCCUGCUGGGGACAUGGAGACUGAAUCCAUGGUAGCCGACAUAGCAGAUCCAAAUGCCAAGAAGGACAUGGAAGAUGCAAAUGUCAAGGAGGAUAUACCAGAUCCAAAUGUCAAGGAGAAUAAUUCUGACCUGUAAGAAUUUUCCGAUGGUCCUGCUUUAGAAAGUGUGCCAGAUUUAUAUGAUAAUCAGGUCGAGUUUCAGCCAAUUAUCGACGAUCACAAGGCUAAUAAGGUUCAAGUGAUUGGAAUUUUAUGUAGAACUCAUCAAAAAGAUAGCAGAAGUGAGUUACUUAGGCGAGUUGCAGCAGGUGGCGGUGCAUUUAAAAGGCCUGGAUGGGACAAAAGUUCAUCUUGCAGGAGCAAACCUAAACGACAUAGCUUUGAAUUAUGUACUUUAAACGCUUUACAGGCUUUGAUUAUGUACUUGAUAUUUAUAUUAGAUGGAUGUGUCGUAGUUGAUCCAUAUUUGAUUUGAUGGAUGUGUAGUCGGUGAGAUUGGAUUUUGAUGGAUGUAUAGAGUACAAUUGGUUUAUAUAUACAUUAAUAAGAUUUAGUUGUUGAUUUAA